UACAGAGGGUGCAAGCGUUAAUCGGAUUUACUGGGCGUAAAGCGUGCGUAGGCGGUUCAUUAAGUCGGUUGUGAAAUCCCUGGGCUUAACCUGGGCACUGCAGUCGAUACUGGUGGACUAGAGUACGGUAGAGGGUGGCGGAACUCCGGGUGUAGCGGUGAAAUGCGUAGAUAUCCGGAAGAACACCGAUGGCGAAGGCAACCACCUGGGCCUGUACUGACGCUGAGGUACGAAAGCGUGGGGAGCAAACAGG
rnacentral:rRNA from 1 species